GAUAGCUGCUUGGGCGCAGCUAAAUUUCUCCACGAUGUUUUAGCUCACGUGACUAUACUUCAAGCGCCAUGAUUGGUCAGCCACACAAACAAGGCUUUCCAGUGGAAAUAAAUAGACGUGGAACCAUAGAAAUAUCGUAAAAAAAAUGAAGAGGAUAUGGAACAACCGUAGUCGUUGUGUUAAUCAACGUAGCUUAUAGCUAAUAUAUUUUAUCUCGUGUUACAACAUGACUGACUUGUCUUCAAAUUUUGCAGUAGUUACUAAUAGUUACAGUAACUUCGAAACCGAAAGUGAUAUAUGGAGUAGAACUAUUUACAUCCUGCGCAAUAGAUGGGCUUGUUCCGAACAAGCAUAUUACGCCAGCAGCUAGCGCAAUACAAGGAUUUCUUCCUGCAGCAUGCGGGGCAGACAAUCUGAUUUUCAAAUUGAACCACCUUGAUAUUGAUACAAUAACAAUAGUUAACAAAAAUUUCAUUCUCUUCUAUAAUAAUUUUACAUGGCAUUCUAUUUCGCUGAAAAAUUUUAAAAAUAUGGCAAUAUGCGCAUGUCAGUAUGCAAAAAUCUGUAAUAUCCUCUAAACUGUUUCUAGCAUGAAGUAUUACAAAAUUUCUUCUGUCCAACAACGAAAAAGAGAAAAAGUAUUCACGGCAAAAGUAUUUUGAUAAUAUUAUUGUCUCUUUCUGUGGCUUUUUCUUUUGAAAACUUGGGUAAUGUGGUACGAGAUCUUACCAGGAUUUGGAAUUAUAUGUGGCUGUGUUAUCGCAUCAGGCUUAGCUAUAAAGACAAUCGACAAACUUUUCCAUGGAAAGGUUCGACGAUACAGUGUUGAUCAUCUUGAUACAAUGUUAACGAGAAGAGACAAGAGACUGACACAGUCAGAGUAUAUCCAAAAGGGCUUGGAUAAUUUGAAAACAGAAUAACCUAUUUAUGCCCAUUGCUGAAGAAGAUUUUAUUCUUAUCAAUAUUGCAAAAGUAUAUACAUAAAUGAAAAAUAACUAAGGCAGUAUUUUUUGACCCAAUUUGUGUAAAUCUUGUGAAAUAAAUCUUGUGAACUUCA